rnacentral:sRNA from 1 species
UUCUUUUUUAAUAGCAGAUCAUAACUAAUACACAGCCUUCACCAAAUCACGGUGAUUUUUAACAAUUCACC